CCAUCGCGAUAGGGAUGGAAGCGGUUAUCCUUUUUUUUGGAUUCUGACGUAAGGAAGAAUCUAAAAAAAAGAUAUGAGCGGACAGCCCGACCCGUG
rnacentral:sRNA from 1 species